GCGGCGUCCCGUGGAGCGCGCGCCCCCUCGCUGGCCGCGCCCGGGACCCGGCCAAGUCACCCGCACAUCUUCACUUUCUGGGUCCCCGCUUGCCCAGACGCCCCUCCCGCUGGCAGCGGAUUUGAGCCCCGCGCCCCGGCGGGGGCCGCCUCUGCAACCACAGCAGAAGUCUUUCGUUCUCUGGGAGUAACGUGAUGCUAUAAAUGCUGGAUUGAGAAACGAAGGGGAAAAAAAAAAAACAAAAACGUUUGGGUCAAUUAAGGAGCGUCAGGCCGCAGCGAUGGGGGAGGGCGCUUCCCAUCGCGGGCGGAGUCAGCGGGGUCCCGAACGCACGCUGGUCGGCGGGAGGUGCAGGUGAGCGGGAGCUGAGGAGUCAGAUCCCUGCGGAGACCCGACGCUUGGCGCGUGUCAAGUAAGGUUUGGCAAGCCUUGACCACGGUUACUUCUGAGUCACUCUGGUCUCCGUGUCUCAACAGCCAUCAGGACAUGGUUCUGGAGGUCAACAGUCUGAAAUGAGACUCACAGGCUAAGACCAAGGUGUCCGCAGGGCUGGUUCCUCUGGAAGGUUCCAAGGGAGAAUCCAUUCUGUGCGUCUCCUGGCUCCUGGAGGUGGCCCGCCUGCCUUGGCCUGUGGCCCCUUCUCGACAUCACUGCAACCUCUGCCUUCUGUCACAUCUUCUACCGCUGACUCCGAUCUCCUGCUUCCAUCUUAUAAGGACACGUGACUACACUGGAUGCACGUGGAGGAUCUCACAAUCCUCAGUGUAAUCACCUCUGCAAUGUUUGUUAUGCCAUACAAGGACCAAGCUUUCGGGAGCCAACUAUGCAUCCCAUCCAACUCCACAUUCAGUGAUGUUACCUUGGAGCUCGAAAUUAGCCCUGGUGGAAAUAUGGACACCAUGAAAAUCAGCCAACACUACACAGCAGGAUUGCCCCCUACCCCCACUCCGGAGAGCCCGCUGAUAAACAUUCGCCAGAACAUCUCUGCCAAAGCCCCAGGUACCUGGGAAUUAUAGCUCAUGUCUUCUUGAGCACAGACACUCAGUUUCACCAGGAAAACAUCAGAGUCCCUUUGCUCGCUGCUGGGCGGAACACCCUAAAUUGGGGGCUGAUAAAAUUGGGAUGGAACGAAAGCCGAGAUCUGUGCUGAGUGGGGAGGAGCGUAAUGAGACAAGGUUAGAGGCAGGCGGGGCAGAGGACAUGGAGCUAUAGUAGAGCUUGAUAUUUUGGUUGGACAAAAUUAUAGGAGAGCUUUUCGUAGGAGACGGAUGUAGUUGGAUUUAGAUUUUAUAAAGAUCCCUCCAUGUAUCUGGCUUGUCAACAGCAUAUACGGGUUGGGGGUGCAGGGGAGGCCGCCAGAGGUGGUGAAGCACCGAGGCCAAUGGCGCUAGGACAGGGGAGCCACAGCAUGGCUUCUGACCUCUGCCCUGACACCUGCUCCACACCUCUGCUGGUGCCACUUCUGGGACCCUCCCCGAAGAAUUUGUUCCCCUCUGCCAUAUUGCAAGACCAGCUCAAGACCCCCCCACCCCUCCUUCCCCUGGAGUCCUCCCAGCCAUCCCAGUCCCAUCUCUGCCUGCUUUGGGCAGGCAUAAGGCUGGAUUUCCUGGGGCGGGGGGCGCGGCGUGUGAAGGGAAGACAGUGUUUCAGGCCUGGAGAGGCUUUUGUCAGUAUGCUUAUCGAUCACGUAGAAGUGAGAGGUGAUGCUGAGCUAGUCUGUGUUGAUGAGGAAAUGCAGGGAGGGAAGGAAAUCCCAGAGUUCAUUCAAAAUAGCAGACAAGAAAUGUUUAAAGCAACAAUCUUGAAACUGGGGACUAUAGUCCUGUAUAACAUGGGGAAGCAAAAUCCUAAUUACAAUGGACAAUUGUGAUACUGUUCUGUGGCUUUGCAAAAUGUUACCAUAGGGGAAACCAGGUGAAGGGUAUAUGGGUCUCCCUGUACAUGCUGUUGCAACUUCUUCUGAAUCGAUAUUUCUAAAUAAAACAUUGAACAACCCAGCCGUGGGCA